GACGAACGCUGGCGGCGUGCUUAUCACAUGCAAGUCGAACGGAAAGGCCCUUCGGGGUACUCGAGUGGCGAACGGGUGAGUAACACGUGGGUGAUCUGCCCUGCACUUUGGGAUAAGCCUGGGAAACUGGGUCUAAUACCGAAUAGGACCGCAUGCUUCAUGGUGUGUGGUGGAAAGCUUUUGCGGUGUGGGAUGGGCCCGCGGCCUAUCAGCUUGUUGGUGGGGUAAUGGCCUACCAAGGCGACGACGGGUAGCCGGCCUGAGAGGGUGACCGGCCACACUGGGACUGAGAUACGGCCCAGACUCCUACGGGAGGCAGCAGUGGGGAAUAUUGCACAAUGGGCGCAAGCCUGAUGCAGCGACGCCGCGUGAGAGAUGACGGCCUUCGGGUUGUAAACCUCUUUCAGCAGGGACGAAGCGCAAGUGACGGUACCUGCAGAAGAAGGACCGGCCAACUACGUGCCAGCCGCCGCCGUAA
rnacentral:rRNA from 1 species